rnacentral:tRNA from 2 species
GCCGGUGUGGCGGAAUGGCAGACGCGGCGCACUCAAAAUGCGCUGUCCGUGAGGGCGUGUGGGUUCGAGUCCCACCACCGGCA